rnacentral:rRNA from 1 species
GUGGGGAAUAUUGGACAAUGGGCGAAAGCCUGAUCCAGCCAUGCCGCGUGUGUGAAGAAGGUCUUCGGAUUGUAAAGCACUUUAAGUUGGGAGGAAGGGCAGUAAGUUAAUACCUUGCUGUUUUGACGUUACCGACAGAAUAAGCACCGGCUAACUUCGUGCCAGCAGCCGCGGUAAUACGAAGGGUGCAAGCGUUAAUCGGAAUUACUGGGCGUAAAGCGCGCGUAGGUGGUUUUGUAAGUUGGAGGUGAAAGCCCCGGGCUCAACCUGGGAACUGCCUCCAAAACUGCAUGACUAGAGUACGGUAGAGGGUAGUGGAAUUUCCUGUGUAGCGGUGAAAUGCGUAGAUAUAGGAAGGAACACCAGUGGCGAAGGCGACUACCUGGACUGAUACUGACACUGAGGUGCGAAAGCGUGGGGAGCAAACAGGAUUAGAAACCCCAGUAGUCC